GUUCCUUAUGGACAUCUCUGGUGAAUAAUCUGAGAAGGCCUCACUUAUAAUUUGGCUUGAAGAAAACAUGAGAGCAAGUCAUGCAAUGUUCAAGUAAGAGUGCAGCAGUCAGAAGAAAAAGCUAUGCAAGGGCCUUAAGGUUGAAAGUGUUCUUAGUGUGUUUGAGAAACAUCAAGGAAUGUGCAAAAGGCACAAUGAUAGAAGAUGAGAUCAGAGAGGGGAAGUAAAUUCAACAACAGAAAUUGAGGAUAAGGAACGUGGUGUUGCAGUUCAAACCAUUUCCAGCCAAAAUGGACUCUGGUCACAAACAAAUAGUCAUAACAAUCCAAACUGGUGGCUGAAUAGAGUUCUGAAGUUUUGAGAAAGAGGUAAAGAUAUGAAAUAGUUGUCUAGGAGCAGGCAGAAAAAUGGCUUAGAGAAAUUAGAAUUGCUACUUAGCACUAAGGGGCCACUUGAGAUUAGAGGUGAUACAUGAAGAGUGAGAUUUGAACUGAGUUUUAAAGAAUGUUAAGAACUUGG
rnacentral:lncRNA from 1 species